GGAUUAAUCAUAUUCCUCAUACUACCUGUUGCAGAGCUGAGGGCUGGAAAGUCUGUCUGCUGCUCUUCUGGGUCCUCAUCAACUUGCUAAGAGUAUGCAGAAGAUGUAAGAGGCUGAGUACCAACGUCAAGGUCUGAUUCACCCUUUUCCCACCUGAGCCCUGGGAGCCAUCAGACAUCAGAAAGUGUCGAUGUGCAAGUGUUGAAAGCAUGUGAGCAAUGACUUCAAGUGCAAGAAAGGGUCAGUGGGGACAUCUCUGACAGGACUAUCUGGUUUAGUUCAUGCAA